GAAAUGCGAUAAGUAAUGUGAAUUGCAGAAUUCAGUGAAUCAUCGAAUCUUUGAACACACCUUGCGCUCCUUGGUAUUCCUUGGAGCAUGCCUGUUUGAGUAUCAUGAAAUCUUCAAAGUAAAUCUUUUGUUAACUCAAUUGGUUUCUACUUUGGUAUUGGAGGUCUUUGCAGCUUCACACCUGCUCCUCUUUGUUCAUUAGCUGGAUCUCAGUGUUAUGCUUGGUUCCACUCGGCGUGAUAAGUUAUCUAUCGCUGCGGACACUGUAAAAGGUGGCCAAGGUAAAUGCAGAUGAACCGCUUCUAAUAGUCCAUUGACUUGGACAAUACUUUUAUGAUCUGAUCUCAAAUCAGGUAGGACUACCCGCUGAACUUAAGC
rnacentral:misc_RNA from 1 species